rnacentral:rRNA from 1 species
UACGUAGGGGGCAAGCGUUGUCCGGAUUUAUUGGGCGUAAAGCGCGCGUAGGCGGCGUGGUAUGUCGUGCGUGAAAUCUCCCGGCUUAACUGGGAGGGGCCGUGCGAAACUGCCGGGCUUGAGGUCGGAAGGGGAAAGUGGAAUUCCGGGUGUAGUGGUGGAAUACGUAGAUAUCCGGAGGAACACCAGCGGCGAAGGCGGCUUUCUGGUCCGAUACUGACGCUGAGGUGCGAAAGCGUGGGGAGCGAUCCGG